rnacentral:lncRNA from 1 species
CGGGCUGAAGACUCGGGAAGCUGCCUCUUCCUCCUCCUCCUGUCAGGUGAAAUUAAAAAGAGAGAGGACGUUCUUUUGGGGAGUAAUCUCUCGCCUGCUCCUAGCAGCCCCGUAAACUGAUAAAUUGCAGAUUAAGUGACUGCCACACUCCACUUCAGUUCCCCCGCUGUUAAUUUCACACGUUGUGCAAUUCGCCGCUUUCAGGGCCUGUCAAUUCCACCUAAUGGCAGGAGGCCUAAAACGCUUUGCCCUGACAGUCCCAGAUCAAGAAACUCCAACUCCUAACUCGGCUGGAUUGCAUACAUCACUUCUGCACAAAUUACCAAUAUGCCAGCGAGGAGGAAUUAUGUCAGAUGACAGCGGAGACAUGAGGAUUUCAUCUAAGCCUGACGUGUUUUUGGUGUGAUUAUCUACGAGGAAAGAGAGACUCCGGGAUGGUGGAGGCCAUGCUGAACAGGAUGGGACAGUGAGUAGUGGUGUGGAGGGGCAGAAUUGGUGUAAGAGCUCUUGGGCUCUCAGAUACAAAAUACAAGUGCUUCCAGACAUUCUUUGGGAGAGAAAGAAAGACUUGAGAAGCUGCAGACAUGUAGAAGUUGGGUCCUCAGCAUGUCCCUGAUUUACAG